AGGGGUAUGGACAACUGAAGAGGCGAUUUCAUGUACUACAUGGUGAAAUCCGCUUGUCACCUGAGAAGGCAUGUCAGGUUAUUUUGUCCUGUGCCAUUUUGCAUAACAUUUGCAAAGAUCGAUGCAUUCCAUGCCCACAAGAUCAUGAAGAUGAUGGUGAAGAUCAACAAGUUAAUGUACAUGUACCACACAUAUUUAACAACAAUGGCAAUGAUGGUCUGAGAUACCGACAACAGUUUGCAGAGACUCACUUUUGAGUUGCAUUGGGAGUUGUAGGCCUGCAAACUUGUAGUCAUGGAUGUUAAUGGUAGUGAAGGCUCUUGUACAGAUGCGGCGACUAGAGGGCUAGAGUUGAGAAUGAGGGGAUCCAUACCAGGAGGUCCCUCAAAGACAUUGAUUCCCCUGUGAUGAAAAGAGAUUAAUUAAAUGCUUACUUAGUAUUCUCCUUUCUAUAUCUUCUGCAGCUCUUUUGAAUUAUUAAAUUAUAUGAUUGCAUUGAAUGUUUAUUACAAUGAAUGUUAUUCUUUUUUA